GACUUAUGUUCUAAGUUAUAUACAGGUAAGACCCCACACCCCUUUAUCCCCUCCGUUGACCACCACAAUUCUUCAUUGACAUCAUGAUCUGAAAUUAAUACAUGAUCUGAAAUUAAUGUCCCAAUAUAAUUGCAAGCAAAAGUAAAACACGUUUCAACUUCUUUGCCGUUUUCAAAGAUGACACAAUGCAGGGGGUGAUUGCAAAUAUGGAAGCCCUUAGAAAGAAUGGUGCAGAAUAUGAAACCAGACAGGUUAUAUUUUGGAAUAGGAGGAAUGGUUAUUGA
rnacentral:lncRNA from 1 species